AUUUGGUUGUCAUGGUUUUUGUUCCUAUGGCAACUGAGUUAGAUUAUUAGGGGAUAGCCCAGCCAGCUUGAGCUGGUCAGGUGAGCUCCGUGUCUGUAAAUAAAUGGUAGCUUUGUUAGCUGUCUGCUCUCUGGCCUCAAGUAAUUUCUUCCUAAACUGGCUGCCCCCAAGAAUAUAACAGAAAGCAAUCUACAAAGCCAGCAAGCUUGGUGUGAAGAUGCCUAAACCAGCCAAUAGGGGAUUCUGACAAGAGGGGUGUAUUCUAAGGCCCGCCCCACUCAGAAUUUGGUGCUUAUCUCCACUUGUAAUCCACAGACAGGGGAAAGUUAGGCAGGUAAAAAUCUGGUCUUUCUUGUGGGGCCUCAGAGGCAGUUUAACUCCACAAGUAACACCUGGAGUGGUAGAGAAGCAAGGACAAUGGGUCUGAUACAAGGAUCUGUCACCUCUCAGGGGUAAGGUGCUGUAUCCCUGAAGUGACCAUUUUGCAUCCAGGUGCUAUGAGGUUCAUCUUCUCCCUUCCAGCUGAUCUCAAAGGACUUUACAAAGGAAGAAAAGCAUCUUUUUAAAGAUGGAGAAACAGAGGCUAGCCUGAAGUCACACAGCAGAUGAGGGAGAUAGCCAGUAAUAGAACCUAGGUUUCCUGAUUCCUAAGCCAGUUCUCUAGCCACUAGACAACACUGUCUUCUCUGUAAGGUCUCCUUUAAGCAUUAUUAUUUUAUGGUCCAAAAAGCCCCCAAGCCCCUCUUUCUUCCAAAAAACAAUAAGAGCAGGUUAUUAGGAGUUAAGGGCUUGGGUUUUAUUCCUGCCACUGUGAGGUUUUGGGCAAGCUACUUAGGUCAUAAGUUUCAAAGUAUCCCGUGUGUGUGCUUUUGAAAAUAUAGCCCUUAUUCUCUGUGUCAUGGUUUCUCCAUUUUUAAAAUGAGGUUCAUAGACCUGCCCACUUUAGUCACAGGCUCUGAGCUCAUCAGAUGAAUAGCAUGUUGUAAGUACAAAGUAAGUCAUGAUGUUACCAUAUCACUGUGAUAUUUCAGAAAUAGUAACUCUUCUAUUUUAUCACAUCGUUACUAAGGAUUCACAGCAUUUCAUCAGGCACCUUGUAUAAUAUUCUGUGGGUGAUGUCUUGUAGCAGAAGGACAUGGAAAGCAAUGAGACUGGCAGAAGAGGCAGGAAGUUAUAACUUUUAUCAGUCUUGUGGCUGUGUGAAUAACCCAGAUAUGAAUAGGUUCUAGCAAAACUAAGCACCUAUGUAUAGUGUUCCAACUCAU